rnacentral:rRNA from 1 species
UACGAAGGGGGCUAGCGUUGUUCGGAAUUACUGGGCGUAAAGCGCGUGUAGGCGGGUCUUUAAGUCAGGGGUGAAAUGCCAAGGCUCAACCUUGGAACUGCCUUUGAUACUGGAGAUCUUGAGUCCGGGAGAGGUGAGUGGAACUGCGAGUGUAGAGGUGAAAUUCGUAGAUAUUCGCAAGAACACCAGUGGCGAAGGCGGCUCACUGGCCCGGAACUGACGCUGAGACGCGAAAGCGUGGGGAAGCAAACAGG